UCUGCGAUUCGGAUUGUAUCUUUCAUGCAAAAAUAAUUAAUUUUUUCUUCAUAACAUCAGUUAUUGAAUCAUUCUAUACAUAAAUUUCAGAACAAUUCUAUCUAUCUUUCAUCUAUUUGUAUAGAUCUCGAAGUAGAUAUUGUGUGAUUCAAUAGUUGACCUCACCGGAGAAAGAGGAAUUAUUCUUUCUCGCACUCGCUCUCCCUCCC
rnacentral:lncRNA from 1 species